AUGAGGGCUCCUGCUCUGAUCAUUGGGCUCCUUCUGCUUUGGCAUCCAGGUGCCAGAUGUGGCAUCCAGAUGACCCAAUCUCCAUCCUUACUGUCUGUAUCUCUGGGAGACAAAGCCACCAUCACUUGCCGAGCAAGUCAGGGAAUUAGUGGUUGGUUAGCAUGGUAUCAACAGAAACCAGGGAAAGCUCCUAAGCUCCUGAUCUACUUGGCAAACAGCUUGGCAGAUGGGAUUCCAUCGAGGUUCAGUGGCAGUGGGUCUGGGUCAGAUUAUUCUCUUACCAUCAGCAGCCUGGAGUCUGAAGAUAUUGCAACUUAUUACUGUCAACAGUAUGAUAAGUAUCCUCCCACAGUGAUACAAGUCUUAACAUUAACCUCCAUGGAAGCAGAAGUGAGAGAUUGGGUUUCUUCAGCUGUUCCUCCUCAUGAAUCACUUCCUGAAACUGUUUCUCAGAUGUCACAGGAUUUUAAGAAAAGUUUACAGGGUGUUAUUUAUUUUUAUAGAAGUGGGCCAAACAGUACUCUCUGUAGCCUAAACAUCCUCCUUUGUCACCUCCAACACUACAGAAUAUCAAUGCCAUUUCUGCUUUAA